rnacentral:rRNA from 1 species
GAUGAACGCUGGCGGCGUGCCUCAAACAUGCAAGUCGAGCGGGGCUAUGUAAUAUCGCAAGGUAGAACAUAGCCUAGCGGCGAACGGGUGAGUAACACGUGGGUAACCUGCCUGGAAGACAGGGAUAACGAUUCGAAAGGGUCGCUAAUACCUGAUAAUAUCCUUUCAUCGCAUGGUGAUAGGAAGAAAGGGGAAACCCGCUUUCAGAUGGGCCCGCGUCCCAUCAGCUAGUUGGUAAGGUAAAGGCUUACCAAGGCGACGACGGGUAGCCGGUCUGAGAGGAUGUACGGCCACACUGGGACUGAGAUACGGCCCAGACUCCUACGGGAGGCAGCAGUUGGGAAUCUUAGGCAAUGGACGAAAGUCUGACCUAGCGACGCCGCGUGAGGGAAGAAGGCCUUCGGGUUGUAAACCUCUGUCAUGGGGAAGAAGUAAGUGACGGUACCCCAAGAGGAAGCCCUGCUAACUACGUGCCAGCAGCCGCGGUAAGGAGUAGGUACA